rnacentral:pre_miRNA from 1 species
UACCCUGUAGAUCCGAAUUUGUGUGAAGGAAGCUGGGUCACAAAUUCGUGUCUAGGGGAAUA